AAGAAAUAAACGAAGUGGUAGCA
rnacentral:miRNA from 1 species